ACAAUUAAAUUCCCCUUCAGAUCGCAUAAAUCUUUCGCCUUUUAUUAAAGGUUUCCGUGGUGAGGACAAAGUAUGAGUUAAAAAAAUGUUUUUGCUGCCUCGCUGCAAGGUAGAGA
ensembl:snRNA U5 U5 spliceosomal RNA